rnacentral:lncRNA from 1 species
AAUACUAAUUGUCACUCAUUUUAUAGUUAUUUUUACAAGUCUUCAUAUAUUUGUUUUAAAGGUCCGGUAAAAGCAACAAGUUUAAAAAUAAAAUAAAAAUAUAACCAAAAUAAUAAGAACAAAAAAAAUUAUUACUUAAUACACACAACUUACACAACUAAACUGGAGAAAAAAUAUCAAUAAACAAAAGGUACUUUCAACAACCUUAAUAUAAUCUAUGUAAUCUCAACAGUACAAGUAACAAAUUAAAAAAAAAAAAAACAAACAAUAAGUCUAAGUAACAUAUCAAGAAACAUCACGAACUAUAUCAAUCACAUUACUAACACAAUUUAGUCCUUAGUAAGUGGAGAACAAUGCAUACACAGUUUAUCAUCACA